rnacentral:RNase_P_RNA from 1 species
GGAGUCCAAAAGCUUACCGCUGGUGGCUUGCUGUAUGGCUGUCACGAGAGGAAAGUCCGGGCCACAUAGAGCACCAUACUUCCUAACGGGAAGCUAUCGUGAGGUAGAUUAGCGUAACAGAGAAUAACCGCCAUCUUAGGGUGGUAAGGGUGAAAAGGUGGGGUAAGAGCCCACCGGGCUGGUAGUGAUACGCAGCCGUCAGUACGCAUUAUGGGUGGAAAGGUCAUGUACACCGACGCUGUAGGGCGGCUCGUCCGAUGUCGGGGGGUAGACCGAUAGAGCUAGGGGGUGACUCCUAGAGUAGAUAAAUGGUAGGCAUCCACUCUUCGGGGUGGAGACAGAACCCGGCUUACUGAGGUCUCCUUCU